AUUGAACGCUGGCGGCAGGCCUAACACAUGCAAGUCGAACGGUAGCACAGAGAGCUUGCUCUCGGGUGACGAGUGGCGGACGGGUGAGUAAUGUCUGGGAAACUGCCCGAUGGAGGGGGAUAACUACUGGAAACGGUAGCUAAUACCGCAUAAUGUCGCAAGACCAAAGAGGGGGACCUUCGGGCCUCUUGCCAUCGGAUGUGCCCAGAUGGGAUUAGCUAGUUGGUGAGGUAAUGGCUCACCAAGGCGACGAUCCCUAGCUGGUCUGAGAGGAUGGCCAGCCACACUGGAACUGAGACACGGUCCAGACUCCUACGGGAGGCAGCAGUGGGGAAUAUUGCACAAUGGGCGCAAGCCUGAUGCAGCCAUGCCGCGUGUAUGAAGAAGGCCUUCGGGUUGUAAAGUACUUUCAGCGGGGAGGAAGGCGAUACGGUUAAUAACCGUAUUGAUUGACGUUACCCGCAGAAGAAGCACCGGCUAACUCCGUG
rnacentral:rRNA from 1 species